CUGGCCUUGACAUGUCGAGAACUUUCCAGAGAUGGAUUGGUGCCUUCGGGAACCGUGAGACAGGUGCUGCAUGGCUGUCGUCAGCUCGUGUUGUGAAAUGUUGGGUUAAGUCCCGCAACGAGCGCAACCCUUAUCCUUUGUUGCCAGCGGUCCGGCCGGGAACUCAAAGGAGACUGCCAGUGAUAAACUGGAGGAAGGUGGGGAUGACGUCAAGUCAUCAUGGCCCUUACGACCAGGGCUACACACGGGCUACAAUGGCGCAUACAAAGAGAAGCGACCUCGCGAGAGCAAGCGGACCUCAUAAAGUGCGUCGUAGUCCGGAUUGGAGUCUGCAACUCGACUCCAUGAAGUCGGAAUCGCUAGUAAUCGUAGAUCAGAAUGCUACGGUGAAUACGUUCCC
rnacentral:rRNA from 1 species